rnacentral:rRNA from 1 species
GACGAACGCUGGCGGCGUGCCUAAUACAUGCAAGUCGAACGCAGUGGGGACGGGUGAGUAACACGUGGGUAACCUCCCAUCAGAGGGGAUAACACUUGGAAACAGGUGCUAAACCGAUACGGGUGGAUGGACCCUCGGUGCAUUAGCUAGUUGGUUAGGUAACGGCUCACCAAGGCCACGAUGCAUAGGCGACCUGAGAGGGUGAUCGGCCACACUGGGACGUGUACACGGCCCAGCCUCCUACGGUAGGCAGCAGUAGGGAAUCUGCGGCAAUGGACGAAAGUCUGACCUAGCAACGCCGCGUGAGUGAAGAAGGUUUUCGGUUCGUAAAGCUCUGUUGUUAGAGAAGCGGUAUCUAACCAGAAAGCCACGGCUAACUACGUGCCAGCCGCCGCGGUAAUAC